rnacentral:rRNA from 1 species
AUUGAACGCUGGCGGCAGGCCUAACACAUGCAAGUCGAGCGGAGCGGCGGACGGGUGAGUAAUGCCUGGGAAUAUGCCUGGUAGUGGGGGAUAACGUCCGGAAACGGGCGCUAAUACCGCAUACUAUCAGAUGAGCCUAGGUCGGAUUAGCUAGUUGGUGGGGUAAAGGCCUACCAAGGCGACGAUCCGUAACUGGUCUGAGAGGAUGAUCAGUCACACUGGAACUGAGACACGGCCCAGACGCCUACGGGAGGCAGCAGUAGGGAAUAUUUGACAAUGGACGAAAGCCUGAUCCAGCCAUGCCGCGUGUGUGAAGAAGGUUUUCGGAUUGUAAAGCACUUUAAGUUGGGAGGCGGUACCAACAGAAUAAGCACCGGCUAACUUCGUGCCAGCCGCCGCGGUAAUAC